rnacentral:rRNA from 1 species
UACGAAGGGGGCUAGCGUUGUUCGGAUUUACUGGGCGUAAAGCGCACGUAGGCGGAUCGAUCAGUCAGGGGUGAAAUCCCAGAGCUCAACUCUGGAACUGCCUUUGAUACUGUCGAUCUGGAGUAUGGAAGAGGUGAGUGGAAUUCCGAGUGUAGAGGUGAAAUUCGUAGAUAUUCGGAGGAACACCAGUGGCGAAGGCGGCUCACUGGUCCAUUACUGACGCUGAGGUGCGAAAGCGUGGGGAGCAA